GUUCCAAGACUUUCUCACUGAAGGAGGAUCCCCACCCGCAAACAGCAGGAAACGUAUGGCUUGGACAUUAUUUCUCUCUUUCCUAGCCUGAGAGACCAGUUUUCAACAAAGGGCUAUGAGCAUUUCUACGAUCCGGAAAAGGGAACAGAGUUCAUCUCCUGGCGCCUUAAAACUUUGUCAAGGAAGAACCCAAAACGUGUUUGCUUGGAGAUGACAAAGUGGAGGACCAAGUUG